CCUACGGGUGGCAGCAGUGGGGAAUAUUGCGCAAUGGGCGAAAGCCUGAUGCAGCGACGCCGCGUGAGGGAUGAAGGUUUUCGGAUCGUAAACCUCUGUCAGCAGGGAAGAACGGUCACUUUGCUAAUCAGCAGUGAAUUGAUGGCACCUGCCAAGGAAGCACCGGCUAACUCCGUGCCAGCAGCCGCGGGAAUACGGAGGGUGCGAGCGUUAAGCGGAAUUACUGGGCGUAAAGCGAUCGUAGGCGGUAUGUCAAGUCAAGGGUGAAAUCCCCGCGCUCAACGUGGGAACUGCCUGUGAAACUGGCAAACUGGAGUGUGUGAGAGGAUAGUGGAAUUCCAGGUGUAGGAGUGAAAUGCGGAGAUAUCUGGAGGAACAUCAGUGGCGAAGGCGACUAUCUGGCACAUAACUGACGCUGAGGAGCGAAAGCGUGGGUAGCAAACAGGAUUAGAUACCCCUGUAGUC
rnacentral:rRNA from 1 species